rnacentral:tRNA from 1 species
GGCCAGGUAGCUCAGUUGGUAGAGCACGUGACUGAAAAUCACGGUGUCGGGGGUUCGAUUCCCUCCCUGGCCA